ACCACUCUGGCGGAUAGUGGUUAGAGCGUCUGCUUCAGAUGCAGGAGGUUGCUGGUUCAAACCCUGGCCGAGUCAUU